CCUUCGGCGCGCAUAGCGCCGUCCUUUUCUCAGUCUGCACUAUGCCAAGUUUAAUGGCUGCCGGCUUGUCUUUUGUCAGCUCAAGAACAUGUCAAGUAGGCGUGGCAACGCUCUAGCCUCGCUCAGGGUCACCGACACGAUGAAAUUCUUACCAAAAUAACACUCGGAUCACUCUGUAUGCACUUAUUCACACAUAUACAGGGUAAUGCAACAGCAAAACUUAUUAUCUUUAGCGUACGUAGUAUUGUUUGACGUGUAUGAUUGUAUAAAGCGUAAUUUCCACAUGUUAUCUACGGCAGCCAUCUUGGUGGCCCGUCCCCUCUCUGACUGGAGAGGUGCAAGCACAUCUGUCCGUUCACAGAUACCUGAUUUGUUUUGAUAUUUCGGCAUAUUUGCAGUCUUGUUUUGUUAAAUUUCGUUAGAAUUGUUUAGUUUCUGUUGUUAUGACGUAGUCGAAGAGUAGCUGCAGUGCAUGCUCUGUGAAGGCUGACAGUUCCCUACUGUUUCAAGUCUGGCAAUAUUUUCCUGGCAAAAGGAAUUUUAUACAGUGAAAAUAAGGUUUAUGUACCAAAAUAAAAUAAAAUUAAAUAUAAUAUGUAGAUGUAGGUGAAUAAAGCUCACAUUGUUAGAGUAGAUAAUAAAGUCAAUAAUUUCAUUUCCA